UACGGAGGGAGCUAGCGUUGUUCGGAAUUACUGGGCGUAAAGCGCACGUAGGCGGCUUUGUAAGUUAGAGGUGAAAUCCCCGGGCUUAACCUGGGAACCGCAUUUGUGACUGCAUAGCUGGAGUACGGCAGAGGGGGAUGGAAUUCCGCGUGUAGCAGUGAAAUGCGUAGAUAUGCGGAGGAACACCGAUGGCGAAGGCGGGUCUCUGGGCCGAUACUGACGCUGAGGAGCGAAAGCGUGGGGAGCGAACAGG
rnacentral:rRNA from 1 species